UGUUGAAAACAGAAUAAUCUUAGAAAGAAUAAUCAAUCAUUUUACAAAUGAAAGAUUGAAUCGUAAUAGUGUGUUGGAAACAACAAAUACCUUUGAAACAGUACCUGCAGACCAAUUUGUGAAAUUUAAGUCUCUGUUACAAUACGACAAAAUGAUUUCAGAAAAUCAAACAAUGCAGAAUCAGUUGGCAACAGUUUUUAGUAUGUCAGGUGGGACUACGUCAAAAGAAGCUAUAGUGAGAGGAUUGAAGCGAUUGAUUUCGGAUAAACUGGCUCGGAAAUGUUCCUUGUUAGGCCGAAAAGGCAAUUAUGAAAUUGGCAAGAUGCGCUGUAUUGCAUUGUUAAAAGCGGCAGUUAGGAAGAGCUUCCAUUUAACUGACAAAGAAUACGAAGUGGUAGUAAGCAAUUGGUUACGACAAGCCAAUUUACGGUACAAUAGACAAAAUAAAGAAACCGCAGAUUAGAUACGAUGAUAAUAAAGAAUAUUGUUAUUUUUUA